UACGUAGGAGGCGAGCGUUGUCCGGAAUUACUGGGUGUAAAGCGCGUGUAGGCGGCAGGCCAAGUCUGUGGUGAAAUCGCCCGGCUCAACUGGGCGGGGUCCAUGGAAACUGGUCAGCUGGAGGACGGUAGAGGUGAGUGGAAUUCCCGGUGUAGUGGUGAAAUGCGUAGAGAUCGGGAGGAACACCCGUGGCGAAGGCGGCUCACUGGGCCGGUCCUGACGCUGAGACGCGAAAGCGUGGGGAGCGAACAGG
rnacentral:rRNA from 1 species